rnacentral:rRNA from 1 species
CCUACGGGGCGCAGCAGUGAGGAAUAUUGGUCAAUGGCCGGAAGGCUGAACCAGCCAUGCCGCGUGAAGGUCAGUGCCCUAUGGGCGUUAAACUUCUUUUGUGCGGGAGCAAUAAUGGUCACGUGUGGCCAGACGAGAGUACCGUACGAAUAAGCAUCGGCUAACUCCGUGCCAGCAGCCGCGGUAAUACGGGGGAUGCAAGCGUUAUCCGGAUUUAUUGGGUUUAAAGGGUGCGUAGGCUGUGAGGUCAGUCAGCGGUGAAAUGCCCCCGCUCAACGGGGUGAAGUGCCAUUGAUACUGUCGUGCUGGAAUGCGGAUGCCGUGGGAGGAAUGUGUGGUGUAGCGGUGAAAUGCAUAGAUAUCACACAGAACACCGAUUGCGAAGGCAUCUCACGAAUCCGCGAUUGACGCUGAUGCACGAAAGCGUGGGUAUCAAACAGGAUUAGAUACCCUAGUAGUC